GAUGAAGAACGUAGCGAAAUGCGAUAAGUAGUGUGAAUUGCAGAAGUACCGUGAAUCAUCGAAUCUUUGAACGCAAAUUGCACUCUCUGGUAUUCCGGGGAGUAUGCCUGUUUGAGGGUCGCUUAACAAACCAUCGAUUUCGUUGCUUUUUUUUUAAAGAGUGAUGUUUAUCGGAUUUGAGCCGUCUUUUUUUUUUAUAUUUAAAAGUGGCUUAAAAUUGAUUUUUUUGGUACGAUCGAAGCGUAUUUUUAUGAUCAAUUUUUGGUUAAAGAAACGCACACGUACCGUUAUUUAUAUGAUGUAAUACGUUUGACUAUUGGAUUUAGUUCAUUCGUAUACGAUAUCUUUCAAUAUUUGACCUCAAAUCAGGUAAGAACACCCGCUGAACUUAAGCAUAUCAAAAGCGGAGGA
rnacentral:misc_RNA from 1 species